UGAGGAAUAUUGGUCAAUGGACGGAAGUCUGAACCAGCCAUGCCGCGUGCAGGAAGACGGUCCUAUGGAUUGUAAACUGCUUUUAUACGGGAAGAAACCUCUCUACGCGUAGAGACUUGACGGUACCGUAAGAAUAAGGAUCGGCUAACUCCGUGCCAGCAGCCGCGGUAAUACGGAGGAUUCGAGCGUUAUCCGGAAUCAUUGGGUUUAAAGGGUCCGUAGGCGGGUUAGUAAGUCAGGGGUGAAAGUUUUCGGCUUAACCGAAAAAUUGCCUUUGAUACUGCUAGUCUUGAAUAUUUGUGAAGUAACUAGAAUAUGUGGUGUAGCGGUGAAAUGCAUAGAUAUCACAUGGAAUACCGAUUGCGAAGGCAGGUUACUAACAGAUUAUUGACGCUGAUGGACGAAAGCGUGGGUAGCGAACAGGAUUAGAUACC
rnacentral:rRNA from 1 species